GAUCAUGGCUCAGGAUGAACGCUAGCUACAGGCUUAACACAUGCAAGUCGAGGGGCAGCAUUUUAGUUUGCUUGCAAACUGAAGAUGGCGACCGGCGCACGGGUGAGUAACACGUAUCCAACCUGCCGAUAACUCUGGAAUAGCCUUUCGAAAGAAAGAUUAAUACCGGAUGGCAUACGAAUAUCGCAUGAUAUUUUUAUUAAAGAAUUUCGGUUAUCGAUGGGGAUGCGUUCCA
rnacentral:rRNA from 1 species